GGGGCUGCCUGGUUUUGACAGCAUAGAUCUUUGAAGGUGUAAGCAUGCAGUGCUUUGUGUAAUCGGCACUUUAAUCUCGAAGACUCAAACUUCAAAUGGCAAUACUCAGUAUGCCAUGGCUGCCUAAUCAGUGAUUAGAUAGUCAUUCGGGCCGCACGACAGGUUAGCCUGUUCCCAAGUUGUGCCGCCGACUCAAAACAAAACAGGAUGCUGCAACAGAAGGCUGUGACUGUUGCUUAAGACUAUCCAGCUAAGGAAGCAAUUGGAGUGUCCGGUGCCUGUUGUUUCCCGACAAAUAAUGCCGGAAUAAGCAUGUAGAAAGCUUUUGGGGAUGAUGUUUGGACAGGGGUUCGACUCCCCUCAGCUCCACGG
rnacentral:tmRNA from 1 species